rnacentral:rRNA from 1 species
GAUGAACGCUGGCGGCGUGCUUAACACAUGCAAGUCGAACGAAACACCUUAUUUGAUUUUCUUCGGAACUGAAGAUUUGGUGAUUGAGUGGCGGACGGGUGAGUAACGCGUGGGUAACCUGCCCUGUACAGGGGGAUAACAGUCAGAAAUGACUGCUAAUACCGCAUAAGACCACAGCACCGCAUGGUGCAGGGGUAAAAACUCCGGUGGUACAGGAUGGACCCGCGUCUGAUUAGCUGGUUGGUGAGGUAACAGCUCACCAAGGCGACGAUCAGUAGCCGGCUUGAGAGAGUGAACGGCCACAUUGGGACUGAGACACGGCCCAAACUCCUACGGGAGGCAGCAGUGGGGAAUAUUGCACAAUGGGGGAAACCCUGAUGCAGCGACGCCGCGUGAGUGAAGAAGUAUUUCGGUAUGUAAAGCUCUAUCAGCAGGGAAGAAAAUGACGGUACCUGACGAAGAAGCCCCGGCUAACUACGUG